GACGAACGCUGGCGGCGUGCUUAACACAUGCAAGUCGAGCGGAAAGGCCCUUUCGGGGGUACUCGAGCGGCGAACGGGUGAGUAACACGUGAGUAAUCUGCCCUUCACUUGGGGAUAACUACCGGAAACGGUGGCUAAUACCCGAUACGACAACUUCUCGCAUGAGCUGGUUGUGGAAAGUCUUUUCGGUGGAGGAUGUGCUCGCGGCCUAUCAGCUUGUUGGUGGGGUAAUGGCCUACCAAGGCUUCGACGGGUAGCCGGCCUGAGAGGGUGACCGGCCACACUGGGACUGAGACACGGCCCAGACUCCUACGGGAGGCAG
rnacentral:rRNA from 1 species